rnacentral:rRNA from 1 species
GAUGAACGCUAGCUACAGGCUUAACACAUGCAAGUCGAGGGGAAACGGCAUCGAAAGCUUGCUUUUGAUGGGCGUCGACCGGCGCACGGGUGAGUAACGCGUAUCCAACCUGCCCAUCACUUGGGAAUAACCUUGCGAAAGUAAGACUAAUGCCCAAUGACAUCCCACGAAGGCAUCCGAAUGGGAUUAAAGAUUUAUCGGUGAUGGAUGGGGAUGCGUCUGAUUAGCUUGUUGGCGGGGUGACGGCCCACCAAGGCAACGAUCAGUAGGGGUUCUGAGAGGAAGGUCCCCCACAGUGGAACCGAGACACUGUCCAAACACCUACGGGAGGCAGCAGUGAGGAAUAUUGGUCAAUGGGCGAGAGCCUGAUCCAGCCAAGUAGCGUGCAGGAUGACGGCCCUAGGGGUUGUAAACUGCUUUUAUAAGGGAAUAAAGUGGGUCACGUGUGACUUUUUGCAUGUACCGUAUGAAUAAGGACCGGCUAAUUCCGUG